UUUGUACUCCCUCCGUCCCAAAAUUCGUGUCUUAAAUUUGUCUAAAUACGGAUGUAUCUAGUUUCAUUUUAGUGUUAGAUACAUCCAUAUCUAAACAAAUGUAAGACAAGAAUUUUGGGACGAAGGGAAUACUAC
rfam:Triticum aestivum genome assembly, contig: Triticum_aestivum_CS42_TGACv1_scaffold_404745_5BL